GCCGGUGUGGCUCAGUGGUUGAGCGUCGACCUAGGAACCGGGAGGUCCCGGGUUCGAUUCCCGGUCGAGGGCACCGGCC